UACGUAGGGUGCAAGCGUUGUCCGGAAUUAUUGGGCGUAAGAGCUCGUAGGCGGUUUGUCGCGUCUGCUGUGAAAACGCGGGGCUCAACUCCGCGCCUGCAGUGGGUACGGGCAGACUAGAGUGCAGUAGGGGAGACUGGAAUUCCUGGUGUAGCGGUGGAAUGCGCAGAUAUCAGGAGGAACACCGGUGGCGAAGGCGGGUCUCUGGGCUGUAACUGACGCUGAGGAGCGAAAGCGUGGGUAGCGAACAGG
rnacentral:rRNA from 1 species